GGUCUCUUGGUCUGGAUCGAUGAAGACGCAGCGAAUGCGAUAAGAAAGUUGAAUUGCAGAAUUCAGUGAAUCAUCGAAUCUUUGAACGCACAUUGCGCCCCCCCGGUAUUCCGGGGGAUUCCCUUGUCGAGCUUCUUUUCAACCCCUCAGCCUUGGUU
rnacentral:rRNA from 1 species